UACGGAGGGCGCAAGCGUUAUCCGGAUUCACUGGGUUUAAAGGGUGCGUAGGUGGGCAAGUAAGUCAGUGGUGAAAUCUCCGGGCUUAACCUGGAAACUGCCAUUGAUACUAUUUGUCUUGAAUACUGUGGAGGUCAGCGGAAUAUGUCAUGUAGCGGUGAAAUGCUUAGAUAUGACAUAGAACACCAAUUGCGAAGGCAGCUGGCUACACAAAUAUUGACACUGAGGCACGAAAGCGUGGGGAUCAAACAGG
rnacentral:rRNA from 1 species